GGAUCCACAUUAGUUCCUGCAGCAGCUACUCUUCCUGGGGUUUAUUAUGGAUCCUUGUUAGUUCCUGUCAAAGCAGCAGCUACUCUUCCUGGGGUUUAUUAUGGAUCCCCAUUAGUUCCUGUCAAGACAGCAGCUACUCUUCCUGGGGUUUAUUAUGGAUCCCCAUUAGUUCCUGCAGCAGCUACUCUUCCUGGGGUUUAUUAUGGAUCCCCAUUAGUUCCCGUCAAGACAGCAGCUACUCUUCCUGGGGUUUAUUAUGGACCCCCAUUAGUUCCUGUCAAGACAGCAGCUACUCUUCCUGGGGUUUAUUAUGGAUCCCCAUUAGUUCCUGUCAAGACAGAAGCUACUCUUCCUGGGGUUUAUUAUGGAUCCUUGUUAGUUCCUGUCAAGGCAGCAGCUACUCUUCCUGGGGUUUAUUAUGGAUCCUUGUUAGUUCCUGUCAAGACAGCAGCUACUCUUCCUGGGGUUUAUUAUGGAUCCCCAUUAGUUCCUGCCAAGGCAGCAGCUACUCUUCCUGGGGUUUAUUAUGGAUCCCCAUUAGUUCCUGUCAAGACAGCAGCUACUCUUCCUGGGGUUUAUUAUGGACCCCCAUUAGUUCCUGUCAAGACAGCAGCUACUCUUCCUGGGGUUUAUUAUGGAUCCUUGUUAGUUCCUGUCAAGGCAGCAGCUACUCUUCCUGGGGUUUAUUAUGGAUCCUCAUUAGUUCCUGUCAAGACAGCAGCUACUCUUCCUGGGGUUUAUUAUGGAUCCUCAUUAGUUCCUGUCAAGACAGCAGCUACUCUUCCUGGGGUUUAUUAUGGAUCCCCAUUAGUUCCCGUCAAGACAGCAGCUACUCUUCCUGGGGUUUAUUAUGGACCCCCAUUAGUUCCUGUCAAGACAGCAGCUACUCUUCCUGGGGUUUAUUAUGGAUCCCCAUUAGUUCCUGUCAAGACAGAAGCUACUCUUCCUGGGGUUUAUUAUGGAUCCUUGUUAGUUCCUGUCAAGGCAGCAGCUACUCUUCCUGGGGUUUAUUAUGGAUCCUUGUUAGUUCCUGUCAAGACAGCAGCUACUCUUCCUGGGGUUUAUUAUGGAUCCCCAUUAGUUCCUGCCAAGGCAGCAGCUACUCUUCCUGGGGUUUAUUAUGGAUCCCCAUUAGUUCCUGUCAAGACAGCAGCUACUCUUCCUGGGGUUUAUUAUGGACCCCCAUUAGUUCCUGUCAAGACAGCAGCUACUCUUCCUGGGGUUUAUUAUGGAUCCUUGUUAGUUCCUGUCAAGGCAGCAGCUACUCUUCCUGGGGUUUAUUAUGGAUCCUCAUUAGUUCCUGUCAAGACAGCAGCUACUCUUCCUGGGGUUUAUUAUGGAUCCUCAUUAGUUCCUGUCAAGACAGCAGCUACUCUUCCUGGGGUUUAUUAUGGAUCCCCAUUAGUUCCUGUCAAGACAGCAGCUACUCUUCCUGGGGUUUAUUAUGGACCCCCAUUAGUUCCUGUCAAGACAGCAGCUACUCUUCCUGGGGUUUAUUAUGGAUCCUUGUUAGUUCCUGUCAAGGCAGCAGCUACUCUUCCUGGGGUUUAUUAUGGAUCCUCAUUAGUUCCUGUCAAGGCAGCAGCUACUCUUCCUGGGGUGUAUUAUGGAUCCUUGUUAGUUCCUGUCAAGGCAGCAGCUACUCUUCCUGGGGUUUAUUAUGGAUCCUCAUUAGUUCCUGUCAAGGCAGCAGCUACUCUUCCUGGGGUGUAUUAUGGAUCCUUGUUUGUUCCUGUCAAGACAGCAGCUACUCUUCCUGGGGUGUAUUAUGGAUCCUUGUUAGUUCCUGUCAAGGCAGCAGCUACUCUUCCUGGGGUUUAUUAUGGAUCCUCAUUAGUUCCUGUCAAGGCAGCAGCUACUCUUCCUGGGGUGUAUUAUGGAUCCUUGUUUGUUCCUGUCAAGACAGCAGCUACUCUUCCUGGGGUGUAUUAUGGAUCCUUGUUUGUUCCUGUCAAGGCAGCAGCUACUCUUCCUGGUGUUUAUUAUGGAUCCACAUUAGUUCCUGCAGCAGCUACUCUUCCUGGGGUUUAUUAUGGAUCCUUGUUUGUUCCUGUCAAGACAGCAGCUACUCUUCCUGGGGUGUAUUAUGGAUCCUUGUUUGUUCCUGUCAAGACAGCAGCUACUCUUCCUGGGGUGUAUUAUGGAUCCUUGUUUGUUCCUGUCAAGACAGCAGCUACUCUUCCUGGGGUCCAGCAAAAUUACGGCAGUUUUUACCAUUUUAAAAACAUUACAAUACAUUCACAACACACUGUGUUCCCUCAGGCCCCUACCCCACCAACACCACACAUCUACAGUACUAAAUCCAUGUGUGUGUAUAGUGUGUAUGUUAUCAUGUGUGUGUGUAUAGUGUGUAUGUUAUCAUGUGUGUGUGUGUGUGUGUGUGUGUGUAUAGUGUGUAUGUUAUCGUGUGUGUGUGUAUAG
rnacentral:lncRNA from 1 species